AUUCUUCCACAACUUGCUUGAACUGCAUCUCUACUACGAAACUUGCUUCUUUGUAUUUUUUUAUUAUUUAUUUUUCUUUUUUGCUUGCGGUUCAAUCAAACUGUGGGAAGGUACU
rnacentral:pre_miRNA from 1 species